rnacentral:ncRNA from 1 species
AAGAGCCGUAUGCAGAAAAUCUGCACGUACGGUUCUGUGAGGGGCAAGCAGACAGUAACCACUCACAU